AACUCCUGAAGCUCCAAAUGCCGAGUCACAACCCUUGACAAAGGCUUUGAGUGAGAGAGUUGGUAAACACUUGGAGCAAUAUAUAGAAGCCAUGGAGAAGGUGAAACUAAAGCAAGGAGUAAGAACUGCAAUGAGCCUCUCAAGUGAAGGAAAUGCAUAUCUUCAAGUAAGUUGAAGAAACUUGUAGUUCUAGAAAUCAAUUUGUUGAGUUGUUUUUUCUGGCUAUUGUACUUCCUCUGAUGUGUUUUGCUGAUUAUUUCCAUUCACGAAAGCCAAUUUUGGAAGCUUUACAAAGAAGACCAACCUUCUUGUUCAACUGUCAUGAGAACUGCAGUGGGUCUAGUGCAUAUUCUUGCAUGUCUACUGGAACCUUUCAUUCCAUCUUUUUCCAUUGGGGUAUUUAAGCAGCUUAAUUUGUCGCCUCAAGCACAAAUU